UGGAAGAGAUAAAAAAUGAUAGCAAUUAGAUAGAUUUUUGAAAGCUGAAAGUUUAAACACAUACCAAACUAUGAAAACACUUUAAUAGUGCUUUUUGCAUGGUAGAAAAAUUUUUCAGGGACAUACAAAUCCAUAGGAAGAGUGUUUUCAACAAAGUACCAAAAGGCAACCUUCCUACUUAGGAUGUUAGCGCUGAAUGUUAAAAUGCCGUGCUGCUGAUUUUGGUUUUAACUCUUGAAGAUGACAGGUAACCAACCGUACAACAUUAGUUUUUCAAACGGUCAUGAAAAAAAAUAUUGUCACUGCCAAAAUCACAGAUAAAUUACCAGUUGUCCUUUUUUUAGAAGUGUAUGAGGUCCAGUACAGUGCUUUCUUCAAAGGCAGCUCAUUAAAGAGAGGAGAUUGAAUCAGGCAUAAAUGAAAUUGGGGUUAGAGGACUGACUCCAGUAUGGGUGACCACAGGUAUAAUGUCUAAGGCAACAAGACAAUAUCAUGUAGGAUCUGAUUUAGAAAGCAUACCUGUGGGAUGUGAUGUGAUGGACGCAAGCCCUCUGAUAGUAGUACCUAGAACAUGGCCAUAAAGUAAUAGGGCCCUGUCUCUACAAAGAGAAGUUACAGAUGAGGACAGAGUAGGCUGAAAAGCAGAAUAGAGCUUGCUAGCAGGGAGGUAGAAUGUAAAUCUGAACACAAAUUAGGCUAAUAAUCACAAAUAAAAGAUAUACAAUAUAGCUAUUUAUUCCAGGAGGUUCACACUAAGAACAUUAUAUUUUCAUUUAGCUAUGAAUGGAAAUUUGAAUUGUGGCCAGACUUACAUGAUUCCCAACUUUGUAUUGCACAGGGUUAAAUUUUCAAGGUGAAGAAUUUCUGUACCUGCAAUUGGCCAGACCAAAGAGGAAAGGACUGGUUAUAAAAGCCAUCCUGUUUGCUAUGCUACUUUUAUAGAUAGUGAAAACUUUUUAUUUAAUAUAAUCAAACUUUAUGGAAAAAUAUAAUUUCCAUAGGACUACUUCUAACCUAUAUUUCAGAAUUGUGUGGGUAUUUUCUAUUUUCCCUUCUAGUUUCACUCCUUCGGAAUCUUCUCUGUACCCCCAAAGGCUGAAAUCUAGGGGUUGCCUCAAGAGAUGACCUGUCCUCUGACUACUGGAUGGAAGACCAAUAGGAAGCUUCUGCAAUAGGUUAGAGGGCAGGAAGAGAAUGAGAUGGGGUAUUCAUUCCCUAUAUUAGCUAGUCUUCAAAGGUAUCCCCCAACAAUUCCUUCCUUGUAUAUACAUAUCACUCUUGCUAUCAAGAGUUGGAGAUUAUUUCUGUUCUCCUUGAAUCUGUGCUGGCCCUUGACUAGCUUCUACAAAUAGAAUGUACCAGAAGGGCAAUUUGAGACUUCCAAACUCAGACCAAAGAGAACUGGAAGCUUCUAUUUGCUGCCUCCUGGAAUUUAGCCACCAUGGUAUGAGAAGCCCAGGAUAGAUAGAAGCCCAAGAUAGAUGGAAGAAUCACAAAAAUGAGAAUCAAGCACUCUAGCUAUAUCAGGCACUUAUUGACAGCCAUCUGAGUGAGUCAUUGUGGUAGCUAGUCACCAAUAUGGCACCCAAUGAAGGUUGUUUCCCAAGCUUUGGGAUGGUUUGUUUUGCAAUAAUAGAUAGCCAAAACAGAAAUUGGUACCUAGAGAGUAAUGUGCUGCUGUAACAAAAACCUUAAACAUGUGGCAUUGGCUUUGGGAUAAGGGAUCUCACAGAGGUAAUCAAUGGAGGCCUGUAAGACAGUGAAGAAAUUGUUGAGCCUGGAGCAAAGGAGGUUUAAGCAGAAAUCUUCUAACUCUCCUGCCUUCUUGCAAAUUCAUCUUAUCUCUGGAAAGAGAAAGUUGGAGAAUCCCAGGUUGGAAUACAGACUGUGAUGAAAGAAUCCGACUGUAUUAUAAGCGUAUGAAUAAAACUUCAAAGAAGGACAUAGAGAAGAAAGGUGCUAUGUAAAGAGCUGGAAAUGAGUGGAGCCUAUAAUACUUAAGUGAAAUGGAAUUAUGAUACCAAAUGGCAUAAGGACAAUACUUUAUGCUGGUAAUUAAAUGGAAGACUACAUAGAAUUCCAUGUUGCUCAGGAAGAUCUGGAUUUAAUAAAAUGGAGGCCUACUGAAGAAGAUUUAGAUAUAUCAGUUAUUAAGUUCCUUAUAUAGAUAUUACUACAUAUGUUUCUACUAGGGUUCUUCUCAUUAGAAGGUACAGAGCUCUAGAGUCAGGACUGUGGGUUUUGAAAUAACCCAUCCUGCAUCCAUAAACAACUUGCCUUGAUGGCUAGCCAAGACUCUGUCCUGCCACAGACCUCCUCCUACUUUCAUUUCUUACCCCAAGGAGCAGUAAACAUGAAUCCUGACCCACUAAUGGAGCCCCAGAACUGAGAAGAGAUACAUUGCUGCUAAACAGGUAGAAAUAAAAACAAUGCCUCUCUUCGAUAAUAUUAAAUGUGCUGGGAAGACAGUCUCCAAGAGAAAGGAUAAAUAAUCUACAUAAUGAAGAAUUAGUUAGCAGUGUUAUGUAAAUAUUGUAGCAGCAUCAAUGAGGAGGAUUAUUUUUGCACCUUUGGAAAGCAACUGAAAAAAGAAGCUUGGAAAAAAUCCUGCCUAACAAAGCAGCCAUACUCAAAUAGCUAAAACUAUAAGAAAGAACUGAUUGAAGAUACAAGAAUAGAUUUAAGAUGUAAGAUUAAAACAUGAUAAAAAAUGA